GGGCGUGUACUGGUUUCGAUUUAAUAGUACACUUAUGUUAGGCAUGUAGAGGAUGAUAGUUGGCCUCUUUAAGUAUCUAUCAAAACAUUAACUGCUGAAGAAAACGUAGUUAGCUAUGACUUCUCUUAUGAUGAAGUAGUAGCAAUCGCAGCCUAAGUUGCUGCACAUUCAAUAUAAUGAUGUCUGAUAAUUGUAUUGGGUGUAAACCAUCAGGCUGGACCAAAUAUUUGAUUUGUGUAAAUGGUCGAGAUAAUAGCAAAUCUUAAGGGUAAUAUUUUUAGGUAUUUUUUAUUAUUAACCCCUAACAAUUCAAAAUACAUAAACAUGUAGUCUGAUGUAGGAUAUCUGUUAAAGACGCGCGUUCAACUCGCGCCACGUCCACCA
rnacentral:tmRNA from 1 species